GACGAACGCUGGCGGCGUGCUUAACACAUGCAAGUCGAACGGAAAGGCCCUGCUUUUGUGGGUUUCUCGAUUGGCGAACGGGUGAGUAACACGUGAGUAACCUGCCCUUGACUUUGUGAUAACUUCAGGAAACUGGGGCUAAUACCGGAUAGGAGCUCCUGCUGCAUGGUGGUGGUUGGAAAGUUUCGGCGGUUGGGGAUGGACUCGCGGCUUAUCAGCUUGUUGGUGGGGUAGUGGCUUACCAAGGCUUUGACGGGUAGCCGGCCUGAGAGGGUGACCGGCCACAUUGGGACUGAGAUACGGACCAGACUGCUACGGGAGGCAGCAGUGGGGAAUAUUGCACAAUGGGCGGAAGCCUGAUGCAGAAACGCCGCGUGCGGGAUGACGGCCUUCGGGUUGUAAACCGCUUUCGCCGGUGACGAAGAGUGAGUGACGGUAAUGGGUAAAGAAGCACCGGCUAACUACGUG
rnacentral:rRNA from 1 species